GGACCAUCAUAUCGGUCGUGCCUCGGUACGUACUGGUAUUUUCGGUUCCUCCCUUCUGACGAACCUUGAUGUCAUUAAUUUGGUGUCUUGGGGAAUCAGGACUGUUACUUUGAAAAAAUUAGAGUGUUUAAAGCAGGCUCACGCUUGAAUACAUUAGCAUGGAAUAAUGAAAUAGGACGUUCGAUCCUAUUUUGUUGGUUUCUAGGAUUGACGUA
rnacentral:rRNA from 1 species